rnacentral:rRNA from 1 species
CGGGACGGGUGAGUAAUGCUUGGGAAUCUAGCUUAUGAGGGGGACAACUACGGGAAACUGUAGCUAAUACCGCGUAAUAUCGAAAGAUUAAAGUGUGGGACCUUCGGGCCACAUGCCAUAGGAUGAGCCCAAGUGGGAUUAGGUAGUUGGUGAGGUAAAGGCUCACCAAGCCGACGAUCUCUAGCUGGUCUGAGAGGAUGACCAGCCACACUGGGACUGAGACACGGCCCAG